rnacentral:lncRNA from 1 species
AGUCGGCGCUGGCGUAGCUCGGCUCAGCCCGGCGGAGUCUGACUUCCGGAGGGCCAGCGGCGCGCUGGCUGGUUACCAAGGUUACCGCCGAGAGGCCGCGUCCUCAGCUGGUCCUAGACAUGCGUGGCGUCGGGGCUGUGGCACGGUCGGGUCCGGGCUUGAAUGCACCAAGGAAAGGCCAUUUGUGGGGACAUAGCAAGAAGGCAGCUGUCUGCAAGCCAGGAGGAGAACCCUCACCAGAAACCUCACAGAAAUCGGCCAACACCCUCAUCUCGGGCUUCCAGCUUCAGAACAACGAGAAAACAAAUUUCUGUUGUGUCCUGGUUCCCAUUUGUAAUUGGCACCCUAAUGAAACCGUUUUCUGUAGCCCUGGAAAUGGCUGAAAAUGAGGGGAGGGAAAUAAAGUGCUAUAAUUCAGAGCAUGGAGCACACCUUCCUGGUUCACCUGAGCUGGAUUCGGAGAGGUAAAAUGGCCAUUACCUCGUCUAAGCUGCCACUUACAGACACAGUACAGGAUGAGGCCCAGACCCACAGAGACAACGAUGAUGGCCACAGCUAAGAUGAUCCAGAAAUUAUUCCUCCACCAGCUCAUUGCAGUGGAAUCCUGAGAAGAAUGGAGAGAGAAGAAUGAGAGGGCAAAAGCAGAUGGCUACACCGAGAACUCACGCCAGCCCAACACACUUUGAUCUCGAGGCCUCUGGAAGGGAAGGUGCCUAAUGAACUACUGAAAGCCAGAGAUGCAAUGACAAAGCAGUCGUACCAGGGCCCCAGGCUGCAAUCCCCUGGCCCAGUGCUGAUCGGUGGCUCCCAGGGACACGCCCUGAUGCCAGCGCUGGCAGAUGUCUGCUGUGAAGAGAGCAGGAAACUGUCCCUUGGAAAGCUGAGAUGCUUACCUGAACUGUGAAAGUAUCCAUAUGUGAGCAGCUAAGGAGACAGCAGUGGCUGGAG